rnacentral:tRNA from 1 species
GCCUGGGUGGCUCAGUCGGUUGGGCGUCUGACUUCGGCUCAGGUCACGAUCUCGCGGUCCGUGGGUUCGAGCCCCACGUCGGGCU